UUCUCUCUCAAAGCUUAACAUUUAUUUCAAUACUCUCUCAUUCGUUCUCUCUCAUUUCUUUCUCUUUCUUCAACUUCAAAACUCAACCUCUCUUGCAACCUCUCUCUAACUACUAGAUUUUUGUUAACAUUUGGGUUUUGUUUUUAUGUUUCAGAUCUGAUAAAUCAUUGAUUUUUCAGAUUUGUGAAAAGUAUCAUUGAUGUUUUUUAGAUCUGUGAUAUCAAAGAAGAUCCAUUUGGUUUUUAACUUCACGAUUUUAUUGUUUUCCAGGUUCUUCGGGUUUAAUCUAUGGGUUUCUAACUUCCUUCUUCGUCAACAACAACCAAUGAUUUGUUGGUAAAAUAUAAAGAUUUGGAGAUGAAAAAUCACGGGAAUAGCUGAUGAAGCAACAACAAACACACCGCCUGAAUCCUCAACCACUGCGCCCGAAAAUUAUUUUCCACCUUUCUUCAUUUUCUUUGCACUACAAGGUCAAAGAUCAAUGAUUACAAGCAAAUAGAACCAAACUACAUGGGUGAUCAAAUUCUACAACAAUCUUAAGGAUUUAUCUAAUCAUUGUUGAAAGAUGGAGAAUGGGUCCGUGAACCAAUCUUAUACAAAUAAUACUCAAAGAAUUUCUUUUCAUGAUCGAUGUUGUUGCACCAUUUCAGGUAUUAUCAUUUUAAACUCUUUUAUUAAAUUGUGCGUUUUUAAAUGUUUUAUUAUUGUUGAAACAUGACACUGAAUCUAGAGAUUUUGAUAUGUGAUUGCGAGUGGUGUCAAUUUUAUGGAAAAUAAUUUUCAUAUUUUUUAUUGUCUAAUAUUUCCUACUUUUAUAAAUGGUGUUAUAGAUUUAUAUUUAUAUACAAAGAAAUUGAAAUAUUUGAAGGUUAUGUAUCUAUAAUAUGAAAAAUCAAUAUUGUUAUAUCUAUUUUCAAUGCAUAAAAAAUUAAUUGAAAGUUUUUUUCUAUUUUGUUUUUGCUAAUCUACAGUUUGUGUUUAGUUUUUCUUUUAACGUGACUUUUAAAAUUUUAUAACAUUAAUUUAUAUAUUUUAUUAUUAACAUGGAUAUUCAAUUAAAUUUUUAUUUGAUAGUAACAUACCAUAUAGUUGUAAAUGUUAGAUUAAAUUAUAGUUAUUAUGUAUCAAAUAUCAAUUUAAUUGAUAUUAAUAGUAUUGAUACUAUUAUUAGACGAAGCGUUUCUCUUAUUUUUAUCAUCAUCAUUAUAUGUUUGCUGUAAAAGAAAACUGUUUCAUAUUAUGGCAUAUUAAAUUUGUGUAUUUAUAAGUUAUGGUAUGAGCUUUAUUGUUUUUAUUGGAUUCAUAAUACAAUAAAAAUUUAUUUUGAAUAUUAAUAUAUGUUUGAUAUCAUGAGAUAAGCUUUCUAUACGAUUUUAAGAUUGUUUUUAUAUUAUUGAUGGGUGAUUGUCAUUUGUUGCAAUAAUUUUAAAACAUAUAAUAAUUUUAUUUGAGUUUGUAUUCUAGAAUAACAUUCUCUAUUAAUUAAGAAAAUAAUAAUGAUAAAUUUUAAUCAUUUUUCUAUUGACUAUGAAUGCAAAGUGCUGACUAGUAGCAUUAAUGUGAGUUUUAUUUUUGUUAUAUAUUUUAUUUUUAAAUUUAUAUAAAUGAUUUAUAUUGUGUGGAUUAUAAGUGAUUGUUGAACAUGCAUAUAUGAAGUUUCUACAUUUUAAAGAGCAUGGACAAGCAUAUAAGUAAUAUAAAUAAAAUUUAUGAGGUGGUACAAUUUAGAUAAAUAUUUUAUCAUAUCCAUAAAAUGUGUAUUUGUGGAAGAAAAAUAAUAUUAUAUUAUUUUGUUUGAUUCACAUUGACAUUGAUAAAGUAAAUUUUUAUAUUAUUUACUCUCAAAUAAGUUGAGUUAAGUGUGUACAAUUAGAAGAUAUUUUGUUAUAAACAAAAUUUCACGUAAAUACACAACAUAUUGAUAUGGAUGCUUUUAAUUUACAAUGAAUAUAUUUUACUGUGGGGGCUUAUAAUAUUAAUACUAGGAGAAUUCAAUUUGACAUUGAGUAUAUAUGAAUGAAUAAAAUGAGUAGAGAUAUUGUUGGAUAUACAUAUUAUAUUAUAAUAUGAAUUAGAGAAAAGAGAAAAACAAAUGAAAUAGAAAUUGUGAUUAUUAUUAUUAUUGAUAUAUUCUUGAGAAGUUUAUAUGAUAUAAUAAUUAGAAGAUUUUGAGAUGAUGUUGUUCUCAAUGUGAGAAUAAAUUUUAUAUUAUUGAAAAAUUAUUUAUUAUUUAGUGAAUAUUCUGAAAAAUAUUUAUAUGGUGAGUUUUAAUCACAUAGAAUAUUUUGAGUGAUAAUUGUGAUAUUCCAGUGAAUGAUUCAAUGUGAUACAAUAAUACAUUGAUGUUAAAAUAUGAUUCAAAUGAGAAUAAAACGAAAUGUGAAACUAUUUUUUAUUGAGGGGGUGUUGUAAUUUGAGAAACAUUCAAGCACACCUUUAUAAUAAAAUCUUAAAUAGAUUUAUGUUUAUUUUUAUUGAGAACUAACGAUGUCGCUUAUAAGUCAUAUAAGCAGACCUGUAUAAAUUUAAUUAUAGAGACCAAGUUUAAUAUUUAAACUUGAGUAGUAUUUGAGAUUCAUUGACUUAGAGACGUCUUAGUCAAAAAGUUUUAGGAAGAAAAAUUGUGACUUCCUCAUUUAUGUUUAAAGUAGCUACUGAAUAAUGAGGUAAUAUCCUCUAUUUAUAUGAAGUCAGAUUAAAGUGAUCAUAGUCGAUCCUCUGACAAAUCCCUAGGAUGAAAUAAAUUUGUGAUACAUCGAAAGGGAAUUGGACUUAAGCCAAUGGAAACUAAUAAGUGAUGGGAACCCAACCUUUGUGAUUGGAGAUCCCAUGAAAAAGGUUCAUAUGGGUAAGAACAAGUCACUUGUUAGUUAUGCUAGCACCAAAAAUUAUUUGAUUAAUUUUUAUUUGCGUCCUUUUCCUAUGGUGUAAUUGAGAAAGUGCUAGACACUGCAUUAUUGAGAGGAUAAGCUUAUGUAGCUUUUAAUGAAUUUCAUAUCCUUUAUAGGUGGUGUAUGAUUUGCAGCAUACACUUGAUGAAAUCACCUAUGUGAGUGUUGAGUGGGGCCGCUUGUAUGGGAUCUUGGCGAAAUCUCUAGAGCACUCAUGAAAUAACCAGGCACGCGCACGGCCUAUUAGCGCACCACAGCGUCAACAACAGGAACCGUGGGGGUGUGAUGUGAGUGGUAGACCUCUAACAUACAUAAAGUGUCUUUGGUUCAUAUAGCUUGCUACACCAAUUUCACUGUAUGUUAAGUACUAUCAUUCUAGGACUAGUUCAUAUAGCUUGCUACACUAGUUUGAUGCAUCACAUCCAUGAUGUUAAUCCAUGAAAUUCUUUUAUAUAACUUUUAAUAACUUUUGAAAUAUGUGGGGGAUUGUUGUAAAUUUUGAUGAUAUUUCAAAAGUUUUAAAUAGUUUUUGUCUCAAUUUUAAGUGAAAAAUAAGAUAAAAUAUUUUUAAAGAAAAUUACUAUUAUUAUCAUUUUAUUUAUAAUUUAAAGCAAAAAUUAAUGUGGUCCAUAAUAAGUUUAUUAUAAUAUUGACUUAGUCUAUUCUCUUAUAUGUAUAUAUAUGUCUACUCUCUUACUUUUAGAGGUAGUAGAAAAAAUAAAAUACUUUAACGUGAUAAUCUAACAAAAUCUCUUUUAUUCUUCCUUUUUUUUUGUUGCUAUUUUGUUUUUGGAUUACAUCUUCCGAUCAUCUCAAAGAGUAGUUUUUGUUGUUCUGAUACCUCAGAUUGAUAAUGAGAAUCUGGGAAGAACCUGUUGAAUCCUGGGGGAUUUGCGCUUAUGAGGCGGAUAAAUCCUUAAGGACAGUGUUUUUACACGCCUCAGGUUUAUAUAAUUGUUUAUUAUUUUGCAGGUCAAAGAUCAAUGAUUACAAGCAAAUAGAACCAAACUACAUGGGUGAUCAAAUUCUACAACACUUCAUAACAUCCCCGCUCUAUGAAGCUUUUUCCUACUGUGUUGUUUUUUCUUUAAUGUUAAUUUUUGUUUUAUGGAGAGAGGAGAAGAGAGAGAGAGAGGGAGAGAAAAGAUAUUAAGAAUGAUGAUGAUUUUAUGAAAAAAUAAAUAAAAGAUUUUGUUGGAAAUAUGGAAAAGAGAUUCUACUGCAUGCGAGAUCUUUUUCUUCAAAUAUAUUAUGGAGAGAGUUGAUUUCUCAACCAACAUCAAGGACAAGUGUAAUUUGUUUUCCUACUUUUCAUUUUAUGGUAUAUUUGUCUAUAACUUUUCAUCACAAACCUACAUUUUUGCCUCUAUAUUCAUGUCUCACAAUAGGAUUGAAAGUUUAAUAAAUGGGACAUUAAAAACUUUUUAUCAGAUACUUAUUUUUUAAUUAAACACAUGUGGACUCAGUAUCAGCAAAAAGUUAAAAAGUAUGAAUAGCCACACUUUACCAUAAUGGUUUUGUGAUACUACAUCUUUUUAAGUGAAGUUUGAUCCAAACACUCUACAUAUGAUAUGACACACUCAUGAUGACUUAUUUCUUCCAAUUUUUUACAGUUUCCCAUUUACAACUUUUGUCACAACUUUCAAUGUUUCACGUUUCACGGAUCCCUACCACGACUAUUUUGUUUUGGUACCUAAAGAACUAUGACUUACUGAAAUGUCUAUGGUCUAAACAAAUAACAAAACUUCUAUCAACUAUUGAAAAUGUAAGCACAUGUCUAUGUCAUUAACAAUAA